rnacentral:rRNA from 1 species
GUGGGGAAUAUUGCACAAUGGGGGAAACCCUGAUGCAGCGACGCCGCGUGGAGGAAGAAGGUCUUCGGAUUGUAAACUCCUGUUGUUGAGGAAGAUAAUGACGGUACUCAACAAGGAAGUGACGGCUAACUACGUGCCAGCAGCCGCGGUAAAACGUAGGUCACAAGCGUUGUCCGGAAUUACUGGGUGUAAAGGGAGCGCAGGCGGGAAGACAAGUUGGAAGUGAAAUCCAUGGGCUCAACCCAUGAACUGCUUUCAAAACUGUUUUUCUUGAGUAGUGCAGAGGUAGGCGGAAUUCCCGGUGUAGCGGUGGAAUGCGUAGAUAUCGGGAGGAACACCAGUGGCGAAGGCGGCCUACUGGGCACCAACUGACGCUGAGGCUCGAAAGUGUGGGUAGCAAACAGGAUUAGAUACCCUUGUAGUC